GUGCCUGAGGAGACCAGAGGCUUUGAAUCAUCUGGAGUCAUAGACAAAUAGGUGUGCCUGGUCCUGCCUGGUCUGACUCACACUCAGGCUCUGACCACAGACGUGCCCUACCCUACCUGACCUGGCCCUAAUGCCUGGACUUCUUGUUCUGUCUGAUGUCUCAUAGAGCAUCUCUUCUCCUCUUCAACAAGACAAUCCUUCAGAUUAACUGAAGUGGAAAUGCUCACUUUAGUGGCAGGCAGCCCCAUUCCUUGGACUGGACUCCUGGACUGUAUAAAAAGAAGGAAGCCAGCUGAGCACCAACCUUGUCUCUGCUUCUUGACUGCAUGGAUAUGGGAUGGGAUAUGACCAGCUACCUCAAGCACCUGCUGCCAUGCAACCCCCACUAUAAUGGACUGAAUGUCAGCUAAAAUAAACCCUUCCUUAAGCUGCUUUUAUCAGAGUAUUUAUCACAGCAAGACAAAAAUAACUAA